UGACCGCUUAUUAAAAGCUGAGGCUACACGGACGGCCGGGUCAAAUGCCGA
rnacentral:sRNA from 12 species